CAAACGCUGAUGGCGUGCUUCAUACAUGCAAGUCGAGCGAGAACCCGGUGCUUGCACCGGUGGACAGCGGCGAACGGGUGAGUAACACGUAAACAAUCUGCCCUUUAGUUGGGGACAACCAUCCUAACGGAUGGCUAAUACCGAAUAUUGUUGAGAAUUCGCAUGUUUUUUCAACGAAAGGCUUCGGCCGCUAGAGGAUGAGUUUGCGUCCCAUUAGCUUGUUGGCGGGGUAACGGCCCACCAAGGCAACGAUGGGUAGCCGGCCUGAGAGGGUGAUCGGCCACAUUGGGACUGAGAUACGGCCCAGACUCCUACGGGAGGCAGCAGUAGGGAAUUUUGCGCAAUGGAGGAAACUCUGACGCAGCAACGCCAUGUGAGGGAUGAAGCAUUUAGGUGCGUAAACCUCUGUCGAUAGGGAAUAACAACCGCUUGCGGUUUGAAUGUACCUAUAAAGGAAGCACCGGCUAACUUC
rnacentral:rRNA from 1 species